rnacentral:rRNA from 1 species
GUGCCAGCCGCCGCGGUAAAACGUAGGACGCGAGCGUUAUCCGGAGUUACUGGGCGUAAAGCGCGGGCAGGCGGUCUGACAAGUCUGAUGUGAAAUCACCCAGCUUAACUGGGCGAGGCCAUUGGAAACUGACAGGCUGGAGGGCAGUAGAGGUAGGCGGAAUUCCGGGUGGAGUGGUGAAAUGCGUAGAGAUCCGGAGGAACACCAGAGGCGAAGGCGGCCUACUGGGCUGCACCUGACGCUGAGCCGCGAAAGCCAGGGGAGCGAACGGGAUUAGAAACCCUGGUAGUCC